CGCGAAGAACCUUACCUGGUCUUGACAUCCACAGAACUUUCCAGAGAUGGAUUGGUGCCUUCGGGAACUGUGAGACAGGUGCUGCAUGGCUGUCGUCAGCUCGUGUUGUGAAAUGUUGGGUUAAGUCCCGCAACGAGCGCAACCCUUAUCUUUUGUUGCCAGCGGUCCGGCCGGGAACUCAAAGGAGACUGCCAGUGAUAAACUGGAGGAAGGUGGGGAUGACGUCAAGUCAUCAUGGCCCUUACGACCAGGGCUACACACGUGCUACAAUGGCGCAUACAAAGAGAAGCGACCUCGCGAGAGCAAGCGGACCUCAUAAAGUGCGUCGUAGUCCGGAUUGGAGUCUGCAACUCGACUCCAUGAAGUCGGAAUCGCUAGUAAUCGUGGAUCAGAAUGCCACGGUGAAUACGUUCCCGGGCCUUGUACACAC
rnacentral:rRNA from 1 species